rnacentral:lncRNA from 1 species
CUGGCACCCGGAUCUUGGUUUCCUAGUCCCGUUCUGCCCGAAGGGAACCAGCGCUCCAUGGGGAAGUGGCUGAUUCUAGGACUGGGACAGGAAAAAUACAAGAUGGGUCUGGAGCAUCCUGCAGUGCCAUAAAGGAAGAAAGUGCUCAGAACAAACAACUACAGACCACACACACACGCACACACAUGCACCAUGCACACACACACCCCACAAACUCACACACACCACAAACACAUACACAUGCACAAUGGACACACACACGCAUACACACAAAGGCACCAUGCACACACACACACACACACCAUAAACAUACAUACACUCACACACACCAUGCACACACAUACACCACAAACACACACACACACACCACACACACCAUGCACUCACACACAGGCACCGUGCACACACAUACACACCACAAACACACACACCACAAACACAUACACAUGCACAAUGGACACACACACGCAUACACACAAAGGCACCAUGCACACACAUACACACCACAAACACAUACACACACCACAAACACACACACACACACCACACACACCAUGCACUCACACGCAGGCACCGUGCAUACACAUACACACCACAAACAUACACACAUACAUUCACACACAUGCCACACACACACACGCACCAUGCACACACACACACACCACAAACAUACAUACACUCACACACACCAUGCACACACACACCACAAACACACAUACACACACUACAAACACACAUGCACCAUGCACACAAAUAUACACACACAUCACACACACACCAUACACUCACACACAGGCAUUGUGCACACACACACAUACACACCGCAAACAUACAUACACACAUACACUCACACACACACCAUGCACACAUAUACACCACACACAUACACCACAAACACACACACAUACAUACACACAAAGGCACCAUGCACACACACACACCAGGCACCAUGCACACACACACACUCCACAAACAUACAUACACACACACACACCAUGCACACACACACACACCACAAACACGCAUACAUACACAUACCACAAACACAUCACACACCAUGCACACACGCACACACCACAAACACACAUACACAUACACCCACCAUGCACAUACACACACCACAAACAUGCGCACCAUGCACACACACACCACAAACACACACACCUUGCACAUACACAUACACACCACAAACAUACAUACACUCACACACAUGCACCAUGCACACACAUAUACACACACACCAGACACAUACAUGCACCAUGCACAGACACACCCCACACACAUACACACAUGCACCACGCACAUACACAGCACACACACACACCAUGCACACACAUAUAUAAACACCACCUGCAUACAUAUGUCAUACACACAUACACCACACACACAUACAAACACACCACAACACACACAUACACACACCACAAACACACCACACACACAUCACACACAUACACGGCACACACACAUACACACACACACCAUGCACACACAUAUAUACACAUACCACACACACCACACACACAUGCACCAUGCACAUACACAUACACCACAAACAUACAUACACACAUACACUCACACACAUACACACCCAAACUCACACACACACCAUGCACACACCACAAACAGGCAUACAUACAUACAUACACUUUUACACACACACCAUACAUACACACACAUCACACACAUACAACAUACACACACGACAAACACAUACACGCCCCAUGCACACACACAUACACACACCACACAUAUACACAUACACCACACACAUACGCAUGCACCAUGCACACACAUACACACAACAUACACAUACACACCACAAAUAUGCACCAUGCCCACAAAUACACACACACCACACAUACAACAUACACACAAGCACCAUGCACAUACACGCACCAUGCAUACACACAUAUACCCACAUAUACACCACAUACACAUACACACGCACAUACACACAUACACUAAACGCAUACAUACGCACACACCACACACACAUACACAUGCACACACGUGCACAUACACAUGUAUACACAUACACAUGCACACACAUAGACACCAAACACAAAGAUACACACACACACUCGAUGUAAAUAUGCGAGUGGACCCAGCGUCCAACGGAGUGAACUCCCAGAGUUUGAGCAACACAAUGAAUGAAGUAGCACCUCAUUCUACAUCCCUAACCCAAAGUGUGCUGUAAAUAUCUACAAGUCCAUAGCGAUAUAAAUAAGUGAUCAAAUAAAUUCACAAAUGGGGGAGAAGAGACCAAUCUCCUCUGUGGAAGAAUUCUAAACCAAUGGCGUAGACACUGCCCCUAAGGAGGAGCAGAGCCCCCCACCCAGCCCCUCGACUUGGGCUGGCGCAGUGCCGCCCGUCCAGAGAGCACGGGGUGGGAAGGGCUGGGCUCCUUCUGCGCGGCUCCACCUGCAGAAACCCUCGGGGCUGGCAGAUCCCUCAUGGCUAGCAGAGGAGCCUGAGGGCUCUGCCUCUGCAGAAGACGAGGCCGGGCCAAGUCAGGAGUUCACCGAUGAUGUUGCCCUUUUUUUUUUUUUGAGACGGAGUCUUGCUCUGUCACCCAGGCUGGAAUACAGUGGCCGGAUCUCAGCUCACUGCAAGCUCCUCCUCUA